GUAGUCUCGCACAGAUGCAUAUCAAUAAGCGGAGGAAAAGAAACUAACAAGGAUUCCCUCAGUAACGGCGAGUGAAGCGGGAAGAGCUCAAAUUUGAAAUCUUGAAAGGUCACCUUUCACGAAUUGUAGUUUAAAGAAGUGUUUUCUGUUACGAUCGUAAUAUAAGUUCUUUGGAAUAGGACAUCACAGAGGGUGAGAAUCCCGUCUAUGAUUGCGAUUUGUAGCUUUGUGAUACACUUUCAAAGAGUCGGGUUGUUUGGGAAUGCAGCCCAAAACGGGAGGUAAAUUUCUUCUAAGGCUAAAUAUUGGCGAGAGACCGAUAGCGAACAAGUACCGUGAGGGAAAGAUGAAAAGAACUUUGAAAAGAGAGUUAAACAGUACGUGAAAUUGUCAAAAGGGAAGCGUUUGACACCAGUGUUGUUUUCUCGAAAAUCAAUUAAAAAUGGCUCGAUUUUGUAUUGCUGAGACCUUAAAAGCUCACUGUACAUUUUUCGUGUCUUUUUUAAUGCACUUUUCGUUUAACAAGUCAACAUCAGUUUCUUUUGUUGUAAAAGGGUCAUUGGAAGGUGGCUUUCUUUUCGGAGAAAGUGUUUAUAGCCCUAUGGACUUCUAGCAAUCGGAGAGAUUGAGGUCUGCAGCGUAGACUCUUCGGGGUUAGAUACAUUUGUGCUAAGUUAUAGCUUUUUCAUAGGACAACUUGUUGACUAUAAUUUAGUCAUGUCGCUUACUCGCUUAUGCUAUUUUACCUACGCUUAGGAUGUUGAGUCGUAGAGCACGCAG
rnacentral:rRNA from 1 species